UACGUAGGGUGCAAGCGUUGUCCGGAAUUAUUGGGCGUAAAGGGCUCGUAGGCGGUCCGUUAAGUCAGAUGUGAAAGCCCCGGGCUCAACCUGGGAACUGCAUUUGAAACUGGCGGGCUUGAGUGUGGCAGAGGGGGGUGGGAAUUCCGCGUGUAGCAGUGAAAUGCGUAGAGAUGCGGAGGAACACCGAUGGCGAAGGCAGCCCCCUGGGCCAACACUGACGCUCAGGCACGAAAGCGUGGGGAGCAAACAGG
rnacentral:rRNA from 1 species